UCCUACGGGAGGCAGCAGUGGGGAAUAUUGGACAAUGGGCGAAAGCCUGGUCCAGCCAUGCCGCGUGUGUGAAGAAGGUCUUCGGAUUGUAAAGCACUUUAAGUUGGGAGGAAAGGCAUUAACCUAAUACGUUAGUGUUUUGACGUUACCGACAGAAUAAGCACCGGCUAACUCUGUGCCAGCAGCCGCGGUAAU
rnacentral:rRNA from 1 species